GCUUGGGAAACAUACUUCUUUAUAUGCCCAUAUGGACCUGCUAAGCUAUGGAAUGUAAAGAAGUAUGUAUCUCAGGC
rnacentral:pre_miRNA from 10 species